rnacentral:rRNA from 1 species
UACGUAGGGUGCAAGCGUUGUCCGGAAUUAUUGGGCGUAAAGAGCUCGUAGGCGGUUUGUCGCGUCGAAUGUGAAAACCCGGGGCUCAACCCCGGGCCUGCAUUCGAUACGGGCAGACUAGAGUUCGGUAGGGGAGUCUGGAAUUCCUGGUGUAGCGGUGAAAUGCGCAGAUAUCAGGAGGAACACCGGUGGCGAAGGCGGCGUUCUGGACUGCAACUGACACUGAUGAACGAAAGCCAGGGGAGCAAACGGG